AGUCCCAGUCGCGUCGCAUAAGGCGAGGGCGGAGUAGUCGAUAAAAACACAGCCAUAUUCAAUCAGCUGCUCCUAUUUCGAUUUUUCUUCGAAAAUUAUAGAGAAAAGACUGAUAUUUUCUAGUCAAAAUCUCUUUCAAUAUAUGAAGAUGUUACGAAUGUAAAUACGAAUCGAAAAACGCUCUCGUUGGGGGAGUUUUCCUUCUCAAAUUCGUCAUUUUUCGCAUUGUAACUAAAGGUAAGAAAAAUCAAAUUCUUUGUUUAUUGUAUAUCUCUUUGUAACCGUCACGCGUGUUGUUUAUGGGUUACACUAAGGACAUAAGGGUUAUUUGGCGCAAUAUUCCUAACAAUUCUCUUUAGAAAUUAGCCAUUAUUGAUUUUUACGAUGGGGGAGCGCCAACAAAAAUCAAUUAGAAAAACAAAUAGGCCGUAAGCCAUGAGCAUUUCAUCACUUAUGAUAGAGAAUUUAUUUAUUACGAGAACUUCAAACAACCCUUCACUUAUGUUAUACCUAUUCAAAUUUUAACCAUGAAACGGCCUAACUCGGUACGUUAUUCAGUCUUUAAAUUUUUGAAUAAACAACCAACAACGCCCUCAAAAACAUAUAGAAUAAGAAAACUCGGCCGUUAAAAUCAGAUUUCCUAAGAAAAGUGGUUUUUUACGAAAUAUUUAAUCUUAUCGAAGAUAAACCAAAUUUUUACCAACAAUCGAUGACUAUUCUGACGUCAGAAUUUUCAGUAUUACAAAAACAGAUUACACUUAGUUGUACGGUAGGCCUUAACAACAGCUGACGUAAAUCGUUAAAUAUCGUUUCGGCCUUCUAGAGCUAGAAUGUGUGUUUGAAAAUGUGUGAAUAAGCUAAGGAUUUUGUUUUCUAGAAGAGAGAUGGAGCGCCAGCAGCGCAGGGACAAUCACAUUAUGGAAAAACUCAUUCCAUUACUUCAUUCCCUAGCUGAAAAAGAAGAACGUGUUUGGCAGCCUGUAUUCUAUCCGACAAUGGAUAAUAAAGGCUAUGUGACUGGUAUUAAGAGAGAUGAGGGUGUACAACUUAUGAUCUGCAUGAACCAAGCGUUCAAUUUAUUGCCAGAAUCGCUUUCAUUGGGAAUUUCUCUGCUCGAUAAAUUCUUAUCUGCUUGCAAGGUACAGGAAAAGUACAUAAAUGUGGUAUCGAUAAGUUGUUGGUUCGUCGCAGUCAAAGCUGUUGAGGAAUCACACCCUACUGCCUACGAAGUAGUCCAGCAGGCUCGCGGAAUCAUCACUAAAGCCGAACUAUUACGAAUGGAGCGCAUUGUCUUGCGUAAACUCGACUAUGACACUCGUUCUGUUUGUAGCGUUGAAGUGCUGCAUGUGUUACACUCUCUUCUUCGUACCGCACCCUCAUCAGAAACUUGCCAUUCUAAUAAUUUGAAGGCGAUGACCGUGCAGCUCCUGAAGUGCCUUUCUUGGCAUGCUUUGGGGGCCACCGUUAAACCUUCUCUUCUGGCUUUAUCUGUUAUCACCGUUCAUUUGGAAAUGGUAUCCAGUUAUUGGGAAAGCAUGGCUAAACGCUUUUGUUUAAUUUUAAACGCCGAUAUGGAAUAUUUAAUUGGUCUCAAUGAGCAAGUUGGCCAAUUUAUAGCUUCCUGCUACGAACAAAUCAAACCUGAAAGGGGUCCAACUCCAAUGGAUCAUUAUGCUAUUGAAUAAAAAGGUUUCUCCACACUGGUAUACCGUUAUUUUAUCGCAUAGCUCUGACUGUUGAUUUUCAAAAAAAAAUUCUUUUAUCAUUUUUGUUCUGAGUAUCAGCCGUAUUUAGUUAUUCGUGCACAUAUUAUAUACUCUGUGAUCGGUACCCGUCUUGCGUAUGACUGAAACGCUAAGGAUAUCCUCAAGUAUUCUCUGAGAUUUCUCUGGUGAAAAAAAAAACUGUUACGUUUAUACUGGUCAUAUAUCUGCACAUUCAUUUUCUCUACUAUUAAAGAAGUGAAAGCGGAUUGUUCGCGGACAAAAUUUCAAUGGGUGCUUACAAAAACAAAAAAAAAAACUGUAUCUGUGUUUUUCAGUUAAUGACGAAGUAGUUACUGCAAAGACUAACCCACCAGUGUUAACGUCUAUUUUAUUCAACAUGUAUUAAAAGCUGUGUUCAAUGUAAUAGAAAUAAAUAGUUUAAGUAUCAUUUAACAGUUUUAAGAUGCGGUGUUAAAAAAAAGUGAAUUAUUUAUUGUAUUAUUUUAUUGAAAUAAAACUUUAUGAAAUCGAAAAAA
rnacentral:misc_RNA from 1 species